ensembl:piRNA 21ur-1710 ncRNA
UCACUUUGGAAUAGCCGCAUG